rnacentral:rRNA from 1 species
GAUGAACGCUAGCUACAGGCUUAACACAUGCAAGUCGCGGGGCAGCAUGGGGGUUGCUUGCAAUCCCCGAUGGCGACCGGCGCACGGGUGAGUAACGCGUAUCCAACCUGCCCUUCACCACGGGAUAACCCGGCGAAAGUCGGACUAAUACCGUAUGUUGUCCAUUGACGGCAUCCGAUUUGGACGAAAGGUUUGGCGGUGAAGGAUGGGGAUGCGUCCGAUUAGCUGGACGGCGGGGUGACGGCCCACCGUGGCGACGAUCGGUAGGGGUUCUGAGAGGAAGGUCCCCCACACUGGAACUGAGACACGGUCCAGACUCCUACGGGAGGCAGCAGUGAGGAAUAUUGGUCAAUGGGCGUAAGCCUGAACCAGCCAAGUAGCGUGCAGGAUGACGGCCCUAUGGGUUGUAAACUGCUUUUAUGCGGGGAUAAAGUGGCCCACGCGUGGGUUUUUGCAGGUACCGCAUGAAUAAGGACCGGCUAAUUCCGUG